ACUAGCACACUGGAUCUCUGCAGAAAGCAGGUCUGCGUAGUUUGGCAGCAAAAUGGCAGACUCUACAAACCCAGGCACAUGGGGAGCAAAGGGAAGGAAGCACCGAAGGUGGAGGAGCAGCAUUAACUCAAACAACAGCAACAACAAAAAUAGGGAAACAACAUCAAGCAACUUUGAAUUCCAAAAUCUGGGAAGCAAUUCAGAUCAGGAGAAUUCCAGAAGCAUUCCACGUUUGAGGACAAGGUAUGCAUGAUCCAAAAUGAUAAAAUUCAGAAACUACUACAUAUCAGACCCUCUGCCUCAAAUUCUAUAUCCUUCUCGCCUACCCAAAAGGUGGGCUUCGGAAUAUACUCCCUGCUGAAAUAAGAGCAUCUCCGCCUCUGUUUGUUUUUGGGAAGACCCUCAAGACUCACCUGUUCUCGCAGGCUUUUAAUUAGAAUUAAUACUUUUAAUAAUUUGUUUUAAUCACUGUUUUAUGCUAUUGUUUUCAUUGUGUUUCGUGUAUUUUAAUCUGUGUUGACUUUUAAACAUUGUUUUAGAUUUUGUACACGUCCUAUG